rnacentral:rRNA from 1 species
CGAGGGGCAGCAUGGGACUUCGGUCCUGAUGGCGACCGGCGUACGGGUGAGUAACGCGUACGCAACUUGCCUCCAAGCGGGGGAUAGCCCCGGGAAACUGGGAUUAAUACCCCAUAGCAUCAUUUUAUCGCCUGGUAAGAUGAUUAAAGCUUAGGCGCUUGGAGAUGGGCGUGCGUGCCAUUAGCUAGUUGGUAAGGUAACGGCUUACCAAGGCUACGAUGGCUAGGGGGCGUGAGAGCGUGGCCCCCCACACGGGUACUGAGACACGGACCCGACUCCUACGGGAGGCAGCAGUAAGGAAUAUUGGUCAAUGGAGGCAACUCUGAACCAGCCAUCCCGCGUGCAGGAUGACGGCCCUAUGGGUUGUAAACUGCUUUUAUUUGGGACGAAAAUUACGGAUUUAUCUGUAACUGACGGUACCUUAUGAAUAAGCACCGGCUAACUCCGUGCCAGCAGCCGCGGUAAUACGGAGGGUGCAAGCGUUAUCCGGAAUCACUGGGUUUAAAGGGUGCGUAGGCGGCAUAAUAAGUCAGAGGUGAAAGCCCGGCGCUCAACGUCGGAAAUUGCCUUUGAUACUGUUGUGCUUGAAUC